rnacentral:rRNA from 1 species
AAGCUCGUAGUUGAAUUUCGGGGUCAGCAUGUUGGUCGUGCCACAGGUACGUACUGGCGUUGCUGAUUCCUCCCUCUUGACGAACCGUAAUGCCAUUAAUUUGGUGUUGCGGGGAAUCAGGACUGUUACUUUGAAAAAAUUAGAGUGUUUAAAGCAGGCAUGCGCUUGAAUACAUUAGCAUGGAAUAAUGAAAUAGGACGUUCGAUCCUAUUUUGUUGGUUUCUAGGAUUGACGUAAUGAUUAAUAGGGAUAGUUGGG